rnacentral:lncRNA from 10 species
AGAUGUUGUGUCGGCAGGGCGAGGUGGGACUCUGUCUCUGCCCACGCUACCUGCCCCUGGGGUUGUAGUUCUAGGAAAGCAAGUCUCAGACUGAGUUUUGAUCUGGAUUAAAUUCUGUCCCAGGUGCAGAUAUUUAUAGGAAAGCAGGGACAAGAGCCCUCAGGCAAAGCUGGGUAUCCUGCGAUGGGUGCCUCUGGGAGUUCGCAGAUAACAAGGCCUUUUCCUGGAGGCAAAGCAGAAGCGUUCUGUGGCAGACCAGUCAGCUUUCUAGCAGGUCAGGGGCAGGGACAUCUAGGCCCAAGGUGUCACACCGUGCCUGGCUGCUGGCUCUCCUCUUGCAAGGACACAGCUCUUACAGGACUUCCUAGCCCACCCAAGAACAUCUUUCCAUCAUCGAAAAGUUAUUGAUAAGAUUUUUCCAUCACUGAAAAUUUAUUAAAAAAGUGUUAGAGCAGGAACGAAAGGAAAUAAAGUACACUUGGAGGAGGGCCAGGUGGGCAUCUUGAGAGAGCAAGUACACGGUUUUGACCUUUGACUUGGGGUUUAUAUCUUGGCAUGCUUCUGGGGGCUGCGUCCCUUCUCCCCUGAUUCUUCCCUUGGGGUGGGCUGUCCGCAUGCGCAGUGGCCUGCCGACACUUGGGAGGGCCGCGUGCACAGUGUGCUUACUGGAGUUGUGCGGUGCCCUCUUGAGGCAGUCUUCCCUUACCAGUUCCUAGGGGAAGGUCACACGCUGGUUAAACUUUGCCACUUUGCCUCGUAGUGUGCAUGCUUGACCUCACUCACCAACUCCUGAGAUUUUUUUUAAAUUUUUUAAUUUAAGUUCUAG